rnacentral:rRNA from 1 species
GGUAUUGAAAUAAGAUUUUAAAUGAGUGCUAAGAGAAUGAUUAAACAAUUAAAAACUUUCUUUAAUUAAAUAAUUAAAUUUAAUUUUUUUUGUGCAAAAGCAAAAAUAAAAUUUAGGGACAAGAAGACCCUAUGAAUUUUUAUUAUUAAUAUUUUGCAAUUAAAUUAUUAAUAAUUUAAUUGGGGUGAUAAAAAAAGAAUAAGUAUCUUUUUAAUACAUAAAAUUAGUUCCGUUUUUAGCGAUUAAGUGAAAAAAAUACUCUAGGGAUAACAGCGUAAUAAUUUUGGAUAGUUCAUAUAGAUAAAAUAGUUUGCGACCUCGAUGUUGGAUUAGGAUUCU